UCAUCGAUAUAAAUACAUAAUAAAGUAAAAUUGUCAAUGAUUGUCAACACUAUUGUUUUAUAUUUUAAUCGGUGAUAUGGCUCGCUCCUCAAUUUCGGCACAGUGUGAUUCUGUUGCUUCCUACAUGGAUGGAGUUCAUGUUAAAAUCGUGGAAGCAUACAAGCCACCACGAAAAGUUGCUUUGCCAGCAGUGUACAAUAAUAAAUUACCAGAUAUAUCUAAAUUAGUAUAUAAUUUCAGCUUAGAAAAAUCCGUCCUUGAAAAGAUGGCAGAAUGGCGUAAAGCCAGAGAAGCAAAUAUCAAAGCACGUACAGCUCGAUUAGAAGAAAAAAAGAAAAGAGAAAAGGAGGAAUCUCCGCCAUCACCUCCACCUCUUCCGACAGAAGGAAUAAAACAGCCACCUGUCAAAGUUAUUCCACCGCCAGAAACAACAAUACUUACUCCGCAACCCUUGUCUCCGCCAGCAAAUGAUUUGCAAAAUCAUGUACAAUCUAAUGGACUUAACUAUGCAGAUUUUGAUAAUGACACAAGCAGUCCUUUUGAUAAUAUGGAAUUAAAAACUAUUAACGAUAUGGAAGAACUUGCACAGGUAUUGCAACCUACAUCGCAAUGGAUACCAUCUACCAAGUUAGAAAAUAUAAUAAACGAAUUAACUAUCGAAGAACAAUCUGUGGUUUGUGAGGAAGAAAAAGAAGAAAAUCUAAAUAUUAGUGCGCAUGGCGAUGAAGACACUGACCAAAAUAUUAAUGUUAAGCAUCGCAGUGUAUCAGCAAUUGUACAAGAACUUCAAAGGGAAUUGGAACGGCCUCCGAUGGAGAAUUGGAAACCUUGGCCUGAUUUGGAGAGUCCAGAUGCUGAUUCGUACAACAAACACAAACACGAACAUUUAUUAGUAUCGAAUAGUUCAAAUCAUACAAAUCCUCUUUCGAAUUUAAAAGGAGAAGAUCAGAAACUAGCUCAACAUCUAAGUGAUAUGGGAUUUCCUUUAUCACGAGCAGCACGUGCUAUAUGUGACCUCGGUGGUGAAGACAAUAAAAAAGUUGUAGAAUAUCUUCUAGCUAUUCAGUCUUUAGAAGAGACUGGUAUGUCUGGAGAGGAUGCAGAGAAAGCACUUACAUUAACACAUUAUGAUCCAAAUAAAGCAAAAAUAUAUUAUAAAAAUUUAUGCACAUUAAAGGAUUUAGGAUUUCCAGAAGAUCAAGCAUCUAUGGCAUUAUUGAAGUGUGAUAUUGAUAGAGAUAGAGCAUUAGACUUUCUUAUUUCUUAAGAUUUUAAUAGUUAAAUAUGUGCUUUAGUGAAAAACUUCUGACGUUGUGGAACUUCUACUCUUAUCAUAGCCUACUUAUAGCCUAGGAUAUUCACUGAAUCACCAGUAAUUGAUGUAUGAAUUUGAUAAGCCAAUUGGAUGAGGACAGGAUA
rnacentral:misc_RNA from 1 species